rnacentral:miRNA from 1 species
AUCUUAUUCCGAGCAUUCCAGUAACUUUUUUUGUGUAUGUACUUAGCUGUACUAUAAGUAGUUGGUUUGUAUGAGAUGGUUAAAAA